rnacentral:precursor_RNA from 14 species
CCCCCCCCAGCCACACGGAGCCCCCCUCUGCGUGUUCACAGCGGACCUUGAUUUAAUGUCCAUACAAUUAAGGCACGCGGUGAAUGCCAAGAGAGGGGCUUUAUCGCUUCCGCUGGGGG